UACAGAGGGUGCAAGCGUUCAUCGGAAUUACUGGGCGUAAAGCGCACGUAGGUGGCUGGGUAAGUUGGAUGUGAAAUCCCCGGGCUUAACUUGGGAAUUGCAUUCAAGACUGCCUUGCUAGAGUGUGGAAGAGGGAAGCGGAAUUCCAGGUGUAGCGGUGAAAUGCGUAGAUAUCUGGAGGAACAUCAGUGGCGAAGGCGGCUUCCUGGUCCAACACUGACACUGAGGUGCGAAAGCGUGGGGAGCAAACAGG
rnacentral:rRNA from 1 species